UAUUUAACCAGGUAGGCUAGUUGAGAACACCUUUAUUUAACCAGGUAGGCUAGUUGAGAACACCUUUAUUUAACCAGGUAGGCCAGUAGAGAACACCUUUAUUUAACCAGGUAGGCCAGUUGAGAACACCUUUAUUUAACCAGGUAGGCCAGUUGAGAACACCUUUAUUUAACCAGGUAGGCCAGUAGAGAACACCUUUAUUUAACCAGGUAGGCCAGUUGAGAACACCUUUAUUUAACCAGGUAGGCCAGUAGAGAACACCUUUAUUUAACCAGGUAGGCCAGUAGAGAAUAGGUUCUCAUUUUCAACUGUGACCUGGUCAAGAUAAAGCAAAGCAGUGCGACAAAAACAACAACACCGAGUUACACAUCGGAUAAACAAACAUACAGUCAAUAAUACAAUAUAAACAAUCGAAUAUCAUGUUGUGUUGCUACCAUGCUGAUUUGUCAUAUGUUGCUGCCUUGCUAUGUUGUGUUGCCUCUCUUGUCGAUAUGUGUGUUUUGUCCUAUAUUUAUAUUUAUAUGUUAUUUAUUUAUUUUUAAUCCCUGCCCCCAUCCCCGCAGGAGGUAUUUUGCAUUUCGGUAGUCUGUCAUUGUAAAUACGAAUUUGUUCUUAACUGACUUGCCUUGUUAAAUAAAAGGUGAAUAUUU